GCUUACGGCCAUACCACCCUGAGAACGCCCGAUCUCGUCUGAUCUCGGAAGCUAAGCAGGGUCGGGCCUGGUUAGUACUUGGAUCGGAGACCGCCUGGGAAUACCAGGUGCUGAAAGCU
rnacentral:rRNA from 1 species